UUGAGGACAAAAGCACACUCUUAUUAUUAACAAGCAUGAAUAAUAGCUGUGAAGAAAAAGCUUUCCUGUGUUUAGGACAACAAGGAAACAGGAUGUGAAAUAAUUAUCUAUGAUUUAUGUUAUAUUUAUAAACUUGUGGAGGGGGGAUGAGAUAGUGUUAACUCCUCGGGAAACAUCAGUCUCCCAACAAGAAUGCAGAUUGUCAUUCAGGCACUAAUCUGUGUCAUGUUAUUUGUACUGAUUGUGCUGUCUCCUUGGGAAUGGAUGUCCUUGCCCUUCACGCCUUAUAUAAAAUUGUUGUCCACUCAAAACACUUAAGAUAAGGAGAAUUAUAACUGAGCAAGCCUAUAUUCCAAUGACAGAGUGUGUUUAUAUGAGGCGUGAGGACAUAUUCACCCAUAUCUUAUGUCCACUCAGCCCAGGAAGGAAGGGGGAAACACAGUGUCCUGAAAAUCUCAAAACACAAGAAAGUAUUAUUUGGUUUGUUGGUUUAUUUGUUUUAUUAUUACAUUUAUAUCCCACCCAUAGCUGUCAACUUUUCCCUUUUUUAAAGGGAAAUUCCCUUAUUCCGAAUAGGAUGCCUCACAAGAAAAGGGAAAAGUUGACAGCUAUGAUCCCACCUUUCACCCAAAGAGCUCAAAGUGGCGUACAUGGUUCUCCGUCUUCCUGUUUUAUCCUCACAACCCUGAGAGUUGGAUGCACCAUUCCUCCUGUUUGACCAAACCAGCACUGAUGAAACAGCAGGCUAUGUGAUAUUUAACAUGUCUGGAUUUCUUGGCUGAGUUCUUUAAUAAGAUGUAACAACAAAGAUGUAACAACAAAGUUCUGCACAUUUAUACAGUAGAGUGAUGUGACCAGAAUGCUGUUAAAUAACUUUGGAGAGCAAGUUUGACAUAUGUUUGACAUAUUCCGUCCCUUCUUUUGGCAAAGGGCAAGUUUGUUCUUCUAGAGAAGUGAACAUUUCCUACCUGGAGUUCAUGCUGCAGUUUACUCAUUGCAAUUAAAGGAUGUAGUUUGA